rnacentral:rRNA from 1 species
CCUACGGGUGGCAGCAGUGGGGAAUACUGCACAAUGGGCGCAAGCCUGAUGCAGCCAUGCCGCGUGUGUGAAGAAGGCCUUCGGGUUGUAAAGCACUUUCAGCGGGGAGGAAGGCGUUAAGGUUAAUAACCUUGUCGAUUGACGUUACCCGCAGAAGAAGCACCGGCUAACUCCGUGCCAGCAGCCGCGGUAAUACGGAGGGUGCAAGCGUUAAUCGGAAUUACUGGGCGUAAAGCGCACGCAGGCGGUCUGUCAAGUCGGAUGUGAAAUCCCCGGGCUCAACCUGGGAACUGCAUUCGAAACUGGCAGGCUAGAGUCUUGUAGAGGGGGGUAGAAUUCCAGGUGUAGUAGUGAAAUGCGUAGAGAUCUGGAGGAAUACCGGUGGCGAAGGCGGCCCCCUGGACAAAGAUUGACGCUCAGGUGCGAAAGCGUGGGGAGCAAACAGGAUUAGAUACCCGAGUAGUC